GACGAACGCUGGCGGCGUGCCUAAUACAUGCAAGUUGAGCGCUGAAGGUUGGUACUUGUACCGACUGGAUGAGCAGCGAACGGGUGAGUAACGCGUGGGGAAUCUGCCUUUGAGCGGGGGACAACAUUUGGAAACGAAUGCUAAUACAGCAUAAAAACUUUAAACACAAGUUGUAAGUUUGAAAGAUGCAAUUGCAUCACUCAAAGAUGAUCCCGCGUUGUAUUAGCUAGUUGGUGAGGUAAAGGCCCACCAAGGCGAGGAUACAUAGCCGACCUGAGAGGGUGGUCGGCCACCUUGGGACUGAGACCCGCCCCAAACUCCUUCGGGAGGCAGCAGUAGGGCUUCUUCGGCAAUGGACGAAAGUCUGACCGAGCAACGCCGCGUGAGUGUAGAAGGUUUUCGGAUCGUAAAACUCUGUUGGUAGAGAAGAACGUUGGUGAGAGUGGAAAGCUCAUCAAGUGACGGUAACUACCCAGAAAGGGACGGCUAACUACGUG
rnacentral:rRNA from 1 species